UGUCUCAAUUGCCGUGCCAUUGCCGCAUCUCUCGGAUGAAUGUUGUUGUUGACAAGAUGAAAAGCAUUGUUCUGCGUUCAAUUGUAAUGGGUCUGUUGGUUCCGUUGCGUUCGUGGGUUUCGGCUCACGAUUUGUCUGGUACGUCGGGAAAAAAGUCAAUUAUGAAUGUAAUUGAUCUGACUACCGUGCGUAACGGAAUUCAAAUGUGUGUUUGAUGGACUUUAUUUGCAAUCGGCGCUCAAUGUGUUUUCUUAUAUCGGUGGCGUCAAUGUUAGCCUCCCAUCCGACCCGUCUUGAAACACGGACCAAGGAGUUCAGUAGGCACGCGAGUCGUUGACGUUUUUCAUUGAACAGUCGAAGGCGAAAUGAAAGUGUUAAUGAAAAUGAACUGUACUUCUUUAUGGAGUGCUGUUCAAUUUUUCAACAUGAUCGUCCUUUUUUGUGCUUAAUUGUGCAAAAUAAUAGAUGUAUGGGGACGCGCAGUGUGGUGCCGUUGAAUAGUCGCACUGUUCUCUCUUUCUCUUCGGGGUUGGAGGAACAAUUGUCGAUCAGUCGGUUUCGGAGCGUGCACACUGGUACCCGAAAGAUGGUGAACUAUGCUUGAGCAGAAUGAAGCCAGAGGAAACUCUGGUGGAAGUUCGUAGCGGUGUUGACGUGCAAAUCACUCGUCUGACUUGAGUGUAGGGGCGAAAGACUAAUCGAACCAUCUAGUUGCUGGUUCCUUCCGAAGUUUCCCUCAGGAUAGCUGGCAUUUGUUUGUAACAAUUUUAUCCGGUAGAGCGAAUGAUUAGAGGUGUUGGGAACGCAAUGUUCUCAGCCUAUUCUCAAACUUCGAAUGGGUAAGCAAGGCGUUUUGCUUUGAUUUUACGAUGAAAUCGCCCAAUUAGAAUGUAUAAAUGCCUAGUGGGCCAAUUUUGGUAAGCAGAACUGGCGAUGUGGAAUGAACCAAAAGUCAGGUUAAGGUGCCAGACAUUGGCGCUCAUGAAAUACCAGAAAAGGUGUUGGUCGAUAUAGACAGCAGGACGGUGGCCAUGGAAGUUGGAAUCCGCCAAGGAGUGUGUAACAACUCACCUGCCGAAUCGACUAGCCCUGAAAAUGGAUAGCGUUUGAGCUCCAGGCCCAUACCUGACCGUCUCAAUUACGCACUUUUUUUUCGGAAAAGGUGUAAUGAACGUUGAGACGGGUAGGAAGGUCGCGACAGUGUUGCUUUGAAGAGUUUUGAGCGUGAGCUCGCUCGGAGCCGCUGUUGGUGCAGAUCUUGGUGGUAGUAGCAAAUAUUCAAGUGAGAACCUUGAAGGCUGAAGUGGAGCAAGGUUCCAUGUGAACAGCAGUUGGACAUGGGUCAGUCGAUCCUAAGAAAACGGCGAAAGCUUGUUCGAAUUUGCGACAUGAAUUGUAAGACUGAAUAAUUAUUUGUGUGUGUGUUGUGGUGGAGGCGAUUGUGUCGUCACCAGUUGUUGUUGUGUGCAGUUGUCGUAUGUUUUCGAAAGGGAAUCCGGUUGAUAUUCCGGAACCGAGUAACGGAGACAAAGAGUAGCGCUUUAAUCUCUCUGUGGGGUUGGCGUUCAACUCAAUCGCGCGGUAACGCAAGCGAACUCGGAAAAUGACCGUCGUGAGUUUCGAAAAGAGUUUUCUUUUCUUUUUAAGGGACGCAUUCCCUGGAACCGGGUUGUCCGGAGAUAGGGAUUCUGGUAUCCAUAAAACGCCGACUUUUUCACGGUGUUCGGAGCGCUCUCGUCGGUACGUGAAAAUCCGAGCGACGCCUGGUAAAUCUCGUACUUGGUCGUACUGAUAUCCGCAGCAGGUCUCCAAGGUGAAUAGCCUCUGGCCGAUAGAAUAAUGUAGGUAAGGGAAGUCGGCAAAACGGAUCCGUAACUUCGGAACAAGGAUUGGCUCUAAGGGCUGGGCCGAUCGGGCUGAGGUUUCAAGCGUGCAGUGUAUGCUUGGCUUAGUUGUGUUGAGGACUUGUUCACUUGCCACCGGUUGUUCGGCUGGUCGAGUGUAUUCGAGUCUGAAGCAGAGCUGGCCGACAGACCGGCACGUGCAGAACCUGAGCUGCGCGGCUGUCCGUUUUCGUGUACAGACCGUUUCGGUCGGCAUUCAACAGCCAACUUAGAACUGGCACGGACACAAGGAAUCUGACUGUAUAAUUAAAACAAAGCAUUGCGAUGGCCGAUGAUCGGUGAUGACGCAAUGUGAUUUCUGCCCAGUGCUCUGAAUGUCAAAGUGAAGAAAUUCAAUCAAGCGCGGGUAAACGGCGGGAGUAACUAUGACUCUCUUAACCUGAUUUCGUCCGUGCGGCGGCGUUUUCUUUUCGCUCUCCGCUCGUCGAAAUUUGCUGUAGUUGAUUCGCUUUUCUUUGCGUUUUCUUCUACUUUCGCAGUUUUUUCUGCAUUGCCACGAUGUCAAACCGCCUUGCCAAUACUGCUGCGGCUGGUGGGGUUCCAGAGAAAACCUCGGGAACUUUAGACAUUCCUGGCCAACCCUCUUCAUCCGGUGAAAAGCGUGCGAUCUCUUACCCUGGUCCAUUCGGUUGCAAUUCGUGUUCGUUUACGAGUACGACUUGGCUCUCAUUGGAAUUGCAUUUUAAAAGCGUCCAUAAUAUUCGUGACUUCGUCUUCCUCUGCUCUAAAUGUAAAAAAAGCUGGCCAUCGAUCAACUCCGUAGCUAGCCAUUACCCUCGGUGCAAAGGUAGCGUCAAGGCUGCAGUUGUUCCUACAUCUUUGGCGAAUACGUGCACCACGUGCGGCUCAAGCUUCGGUACUUUCAGUGGUCUUCAACUCCAUCGGAAAAGAGCACAUCCGGACGUUUUUGCUGCUUCUUGUAGCAAAAAAACGAAGGCGCGUUGGUCUAACGACGAAUUUACCCUUCUGGCGAGACUCGAAGCAGGUCUGGAUCCAGCCUGUAAAAACAUUAACCAAGUACUAGCGGAAAGGUUAAUGGAGUAUAACAUCACCAGAGGCGUAGAAAUGAUAAAAGGCCAACGUAGAAAAGAUCAGUACAAAGCGCUCGUUCGUCAACUCCGGUCAAAUUCUGAAACACAGCAAUGU
rnacentral:rRNA from 1 species